GCUGCUCAAACUCAGCAAAUAAACCAGGGGAGACGUGGCCAAGCUUCUGGCAACAAGUUGGACAUAACACCUGUCCAAAAUGCUGACUAAGGGAUACAAAACUGCUGGCUAAGCAACUCAGCUUCGGCUGCCGAAUCGCAUGCAAAACCAUGCAACAUUCGGGGGCCGAACCUGAAUUCGGAAGCCGAAUAUUGGGCACUUUCGGCGGCCGAACUUACCUUCGGCGGCCGAACUUGGC
rnacentral:lncRNA from 1 species